rnacentral:rRNA from 1 species
AGCAGCCGCGGUAAUUCCAGCUCCAAUAGCGUAUAUUAAAGUUGUUGCAGUUAAAAAGCUCGUAGUUGAAUUUCGGGAUCAAUUUAUUGGUCGUGCUAUUGUACGUACUGGUAUUAUUGAUUCCUACCUUCUGACGAACCAUGAUGUCAUUAAUUUGGUGUCUUGGGGAAUCAGGACUGUUACUUUGAAAAAAUUAGAGUGUUUAAAGCAGGCUCACGCUUGAAUACAUUAGCAUGGAAUAACGAAAUAGGACGUUUGAUUCUAUUUUGUUGGUUUCUAGGAUCGACGUAAUGAUUAAUAGGGAUAGUUGGGGGCAUUAGUAUUCAAUUGUCAGAGGUGAAAUUCUUGGAUUUAUUGAAGACUAACUACUGCGAAAGCAUUUGCCAAGGAUGUUUUCAUUAAUCAAGAACGAAAGUUAGGGGAUCGAAGACGAUCAGAUACCGUAGUAGUUUUAACCAUAAACUAUGCCGACUAGGGAUCGGAUGAUGUUAAUUUUUUAAUGACUCAUUCGGCGCCUUAC